rnacentral:rRNA from 1 species
GAAGACCAAGGGUUCCUGUCCAACGUUAAUCGGGGCAGGGUGAGUCGACCCCUAAGGCGAGGCCGAAAGGCGUAGUCGAUGGGAAACAGGUUAAUAUUCCUGUACUUGGUGUUACUGCGAAGGGGGGACGGAGAAGGCUAUGUUGGCCGGGCGACGGUUGUCCCGGUUUAAGCGUGUAGGCUGGUUUUCCAGGCAAAUCCGGAAAAUCAAGGCUGAGGCGUGAUGACGAGGCACUACGGUGCUGAAGCAACAAAUGCCCUGCUUCCAGGAAAAGCCUCUAAGCAUCAGGUAACAUCAAAUCGUACCCCAAACCGACACAGGUGGUCAGGUAGAGAAUACCAAGGCGCUUGAGAGAACUCGGGUGAAGGAACUAGGCAAAAUGGUGCCGUAACUUCGGGAGAA